rfam:Canis lupus familiaris chromosome X, whole genome shotgun sequence.
GGGGGGAGGCCGGAUCCUGGGCUGUGUCCCGGCGCCCUGUGCUCCGGAGCCUGCGCUGUUGGAUUCGCGUUCCCGGGCCGCCGCGCAGCCCCCU